AACCUUCAGGUCUGGCUGCUGAGGAAACACCGACCUCGAACCCGCUGGGGAGGUACAUAAUCUUUGACACAGAACACCCGUCGACUCGUACUGGUAUUCACCAUCUAACCACAGUGUCAAUUUUCCACUUUUGAGAGUUCCCAGACUCAUCCGGUCUUUUCUGAUUCAUCACCUUGUAUUCUCGACUUCUCCCUACUUCACGAAAAUCGACCUCCUUAGAUUCGCCAACUCUGCAGUUCUCAUACUUUGAAG
rnacentral:lncRNA from 1 species